AGGCGGCCAGUAGGGGUUUGACCAUUUUUGUUGAGCUAUUUCACAGCUGUAAACAACAGUGGCUGAGAUGGAAAGUGAGAACAAUAGCAUAUCCGUAGAUGAUGUACACAAGGAAGACAACGCAGCUCUUUGGGUCGAACCGUUUCAGUCGUUUCACUUGCAUCUGCAAGUUGAGCAGUGGCAGUGGAAUGAUACAUUUUGUCGUUCGCCGGGAAGCACUCAAAACAAACUCCACAGUCUUGUGAAUAUAAAAUAGACGUUACUUCUUUUGGUGCUAGUCAGAAAGACAGAAUUGGUAUUUGAAACAUCAUACAAGAAUGUGGUUCGUAUCAUCCCUCCUGUUAUUUAUUUUCACAAGGGCCGAAUGUGUGCCUUAUUGUCGUUUGCGAGAGAACGGUUCUUAAAUGUUGACCUGUAUGUGUUUGUGGCCCGCUGUGUUGCAACACCUUGGAGUACGAAUGCGGAUAAAAGUAUUAUAACUUGGAACAUACCAACUUCAUACAUGCCAGUAUUAGUGUAGUAGACGACAUACUCUGAAUUGAAAUAGCAUUACAGGAGGCAACCUGGUUUGACAAAACAUGGACAACACUUGCGAUAUAGCUGAAAAACCUAAGAAGGGGAACAUUUUCGAACGGACUGCAGCUAGCAAGCGAAGUGGGCUGGAGGAGCAAAGAAAACGAAACCAAGAUACCAUUCAAAUCCUGUGGAAACAGGGCAUCUUAGCUAGGAAUGACAACUGGAGAGAAUCAAUCCGAAAUUCAGGAAAUGGAGAACAGUAUUGGUCACCCAUUCGACAGCACAGACCCUCUGAAAUUCAACAAUAUUGGUAAACAGAAAGUAAACAUCUUCCCUCUCAUCUGGCAUGCUACAACCCCUGCAAACUUAAGUGUCGCCAAAAAAAAAAUAAAUACCAAAAUAAUAGAUAAUUAUGCCUGGAGCCCAUCUCUGACACAUAACAUCAAGUUCCCAGUCUUUUUCCUGUUUAGUGAUUAAGGUUCAACCAUUCCCUCGGGAAUUGAGCAACUGCUAUGCCAUGAUUUACAUCAAUUUCUGUGCUCAGCAAAGGCUUUUACAUGAUUUAUACUCUUUAAGAGUAUGGCUCAGUUAUUCUUUCAUAAUGCUUAAGAAGAUUCAUAUCAGAACAACGUGAGUUGAGGAAGCUUAGAAGAGUUUGAUGAGAACAAUAUGUUUACCACAGAGGUUUCAAAUGAAAGGAGGCAGGACAAAACUGCAUAAUGAGGAGAUUCACAAUCUGAACUCUUCAACCAACUGAAUUAUAGUGAUGACACCAUUGAAUAUGAGGGAGGCAACAGGACAUGUAAUGCUAACAUGUGUGCAGUGAUAUCUAUAUAUGGUAGCAAGAACCCAAUCCCGCUUUCUUUGUAAGCCUCCUGUGGCCCUCACACUAGUCUUUUAAUUCGACAUCUGACACAACAUAUCUCUCGCAUUCUAACUGACAGUCAGCAUUUGAAGUGCUCUAUGGCUUCCUUCAACCCAAAGGAUGAGAUGCUAAGAAAUCAAGCUAACCCUCUGAAAGCUCCCUUCUCUUUUUUUACGUGGCUCUAGCAAAGGACUGCUACAACAUUUUCAUAAUAAACAUUGCCUCUCUGGCUCCAAAAUUAUAGG